rnacentral:rRNA from 1 species
GAUUCGCCCUUAGAGUUUGAUCAUGGCUCAGGAUGAACGCUGGCGGCGUGCUUAACACAUGCAAGUCGAACGGAAAGGCCCUCUGCUUGCAGAGGGUACUCGAGUGGCGAACGGGUGAGUAACACGUGGGUGAUCUGCCCUGCACUGUGGGAUAAGCCUGGGAAACUGGGUCUAAUACCAUAUAUGACCGCGCUUUGGAUGGUGUGGUGGAAAGCUUUUGCGGUGUGGGAUGAGCCUGCGGCCUAUCAGCUUGUUGGUGGGGUAAUGGCCUACCAAGGCGGCGACGGGUAUCCGGCCUGAGAGGGUGUACGGACACAUUGGGACUGAGAUACGGCCCAGACUCCUACGGGAGGCAGCAGUGGGGAAUAUUGCACAAUGGGCGCAAGCCUGAUGCAGCGACGCCGCGUGGGGGAUGAAGGCCUUCGGGUUGUAAACUCCUUUCGCUAUCGACGAAGCCACUUUGUGGUGACGGUAGGUAGAUAAGAAGCACCGGCUAACUACGUGCCAGCAGCCGCGGUAAUACGUAGGGUGCGAGCGUUGUCCGGAAUUACUGGGCGUAAAGAGCUCGUAGGUGGUUUGUCGCGUCGUCUGUGAAAUCCCGGGGCUUAACUUCGGGCGUGCAGGCGAUACGGGCAUAACUUGAGUGCUGUAGGGGAGACUGGAAUUCCUGGUGUAGCGGUGAAAUGCGCAGAUAUCAGGAGGAACACCGAUGGCGAAGGCAGGUCUCUGGGCAGUUACUGACGCUGAGGAGCGAAAGCAUGGGUAGCGAACAGGAUUAGAUACCCUGGUAGUCC